rnacentral:rRNA from 1 species
CAGCAGCCGCGGGAAUACGAAGGGUGCAAGCGUUAAUCGGAAUUACUGGGCGUAAAGCGUGCGUAGGCGGUUUGUUAAGUCUGCUGUGAAAUCCCCGGGCUCAACCUGGGAAUGGCAGUGGAUACUGGCAAGCUAGAGUGUGUCAGAGGAUGGUGGAAUUCCCGGUGUAGCGGUGAAAUGCGUAGAGAUCGGGAGGAACAUCAGUGGCGAAGGCGGCCGUCUGGGACAACACUGACGCUGAGGCACGAAAGCGUGGGGAGCAAACAGGAUUAGAUACCCCCGUAGUCCCUGUCUCUUAUAA